GACGAACGCUGGCGGCGUGCUUAACACAUGCAAGUCGAACGGAAAGGCCCUGCUUUCGCGGGGUGUCCGAGUGGCGAACGGGUGAGUAACACGUGAGUAACCCGCCCUGGACUUUGGGAUAACUUCAGGAAACCGGGGCUACUACAGGAUAGGAGCGCCUGCUGCAGGGGGGGGGUCGGAAAGUUUCGGCGGUGGGGGACGGACUCGCGGCUUAUCAGCUUGUGGGUGGGGGAGGGGCUUAGCAAGCCUUUGACGGGUAGCCGGCCUGAGAGGGUGGCCGGGCUCAUUAGGCCUGCGGUACGGCCCAGACUCCUACGGGAGACAGCAGUGGAGAAUAUUGCACAGUGGGCGGACGCGUGAUGAGGCAGCGCCGCGUUCGGGAUGACGGCCUUCUGGUUGUAAACCGCUUUCGCCUGUGACGAAGCGUGAGUGACGUUAAUGGGUGAAGAAGCACCGGCUAACUACGUG
rnacentral:rRNA from 1 species